AUUGAACGCUAGCGGCAGGCUUAACACAUGCAAGUCGAGCGAGCGGGGGACGGGUGAGUAAGGUCUGGGCCACUGCCUGAGGGAUGGUGAUAACUACUGGAAACGGUAUCUAAUACCGCAUCCCAUCAGCAUUGCCCAGAUGGGAUUAUCUAGUAGGGGGGGUAAUGGCUCACAUAGGCGACGAUCCCUAGCUGGUCUGAGAGUAUGACCAGCCACACUGGAACUGAGACACGGUCCAGACUCCUACGGGAGGCAGAAGUGGGGAAUAUUGCACAAUGGGCGAAAGCCUGAUGCAGCCAUGCCGCGUGUGUGAAGAAGGCCUUCGGGUUGUAAAGCACUUUCAGCGAGGAGGCGUUACUCGCAGAAGAAGCACCGGCUAACUCCGUGCCAGCAGCCGCGGUAAUAC
rnacentral:rRNA from 1 species